rnacentral:lncRNA from 1 species
AGCAAGGCAUGGCCUUGACAAGGUUUCUGUCAAAUGGGUUAAGAGCAGAAGCGAGAUUUAUUUAUUUAUCUGAGAGAGUGUGUGUGAGACAGAGAGGAAGAGAGAAUCUGAAGCAGACUCCACAUUGAGCACAGAGCCUGAUGUGGGGCUCAAUCCCAUAACCACGAGAUCAUGACCUGAACCAAAACCAAGAAUCAGAUGCUUAACCAACUGAGCCACCCAG